GACGGACGCUGGCGGCGUGCUUAACACAUGCCAGUCGAACGGAAAGGCCCCAGCUUGCUUGGGGACUCGAGUGGCGAACGGGUGAGUAACACGUGGGUGAUCUGCCCUGCACGCUGGGAUAAGCCUGGGGAACUGGGUCUAAUACCGGAUAGGACCGUGCUUUAGUGUGUGCGGUGGAGAGUUUUUCGGUGCAGGAUGAGCGCGCGGCCUAUCAGCUUGUUGGUGGGGUAAUGGCCUACCAAGGCGGCGACGGGUAGCCGGCCUGAGAGGGUGUACGGCCACAUUGGGACUGAGACACGGCCCAGACUCCUACGGGAGGCAGCAGUGGGGAAUAUUGCACAAUGGGCGCAAGCCUGAUGCAGCGACGCCGCGUGGGGGAUGACGGCCUUCGGGUUGUAAACCCCUUUCGGCAGGGACGAAGCUUUUGUGACGGUACCUGCAUAAGAAGCACCGGCUAACUACGUG
rnacentral:rRNA from 1 species